AAAAAGCUUCUAGUUAGAGAAUUACCGCCCGUACCGUAAACCGACACAGGUAUGCGGGGAGAGAAUCCUAAGGUGCGCGGGAGAACCCUCGUUAAGGAACUCGGCAAAAUGUACCCGUAACUUCGGGAUAAGGGUAGCCGCUGUUGUGAAGUCUGAACAGACGGAGCAUGAGGCGGUCGCAGUGAAGAGGCCCAAGCGACUGUUUACCACAAACACAGGUGCCUGCUAAAGAGAAAUCUGACGUAUAGGUGCUGACACCUGCCCAGUGCCGGAAGGUUAAGGAAGGAUGUCCGGAGCAAUCCAAAGCAUUCGACCGAAGCCCCGGUGAACGGCGGCCGUAACAAUAACGGUCCUAAGGUAGCGAAAUUCCUUGUCGGGUAAGUUCCGACCCGCACGAAAGGUGUAACGAUUUGGGCACUGUCUCAACGAGGGACCCGGUGAAAUUGAAGUACCUGUGAAGAUGCAGGUUACCCGCGACUGGACAGAAAGACCCCAUGGAGCUUUACUGUAACCUGACAUUGGGUUCUGAUACAUCACGUACAGGAUAGGUGGGAGGCAUGGAAGCGAGGACGCUAGUCUUCGUGGAGCCGCCGUUGGGAUACCACCCUUGAUGUAUCGGAAUUCUAACCGUAGGAGUAACGAAACUCGGGACAGUGUCAGGCGGGCAGUUUGACUGGGGCGGUCGCCUCCCAAAGAGUAACGGAGGCGCCCAAAGGUUCCCUCAGCGCGGCCGGAAAUCGCGCGAAGAGUGUAAAGGCAGAAGGGAGCUUGACUGAGAGCCAAACACGGCAAUCAGGUACGAAAGUAGGGCUUAGUGAUCCGGUGGCAUCCAAGUGGAAGGGCCAUCGCUCAACGGAUAAAAGCUACCCUGGGGAUAACAGGCUAAUCUCUCCCAAGAGUCCAUAUCGACGGGGAGGUUUGGCACCUCGAUGUCGGCUCAUCACAUCCUGGGGCUGAAGUCGGUCCCAAGGGUUGGGCUGUUCGCCCAUUAAAGUGGUACGUGAGCUGGGUUCAGAACGUCGUGAGACAGUUCGGUCCCUAUCCAUCGCGGGCGCAAGAGAUUUGAAGGGGGCUGCUCCUAGUACGAGAGGACCGGAGUGGACGAACCAAUGGUGUACCAAUUAUCUCGCCAGAGGUAUAGUUGGGUAGCUACGUUCGGAAAGGAUAAACGCUGAAAGCAUCUAAGCGUGAAACCAGCCUUAAGAUGAGAUCUCUCAUAGAGCAAUCUAGUAAGACACCUUGGAGAAGACGAGGUUGAUAGGUCGGGAGUGUAAGUACAGUAAUGUAUUCAGCGGACCGAUACUAAUAUGUCGAGGGCUUGACU
rnacentral:rRNA from 1 species